AACGAACGCUGGCGGCAUGCCUAACACAUGCAAGUCGAACGAGACCUUCGGGUCUAGUGGCGCACGGGUGCGUAACGCGUGGGAACCUGCCCUUAGGUUCGGAAUAACUCCCCGAAAGGGGUGCUAAUACCGGAUAAUGUCUUCGGACCAAAGAUUUAUCGCCUUUGGAUGGGCCCGCGUUGGAUUAGCUAGUUGGUAGGGUAAAAGCCUACCAAGGCGACGAUCCAUAGCUGGUCUGAGAGGAUGAUCAGCCACACUGGGACUGAGACACGGCCCAGACUCCUACGGGAAGCAGCAGUGGGGAAUAUUGGACGAUGGGCGAAAGCCUGAUCCAGCAAUGCCGCGUGAGUGAUGAAGGCCUUAGGGUUGUAAAGCUCUUUUACCCGGAAUGAUAAUGACAGUACCGGGAGAAUAAGCUCCGGCUAACUCCGUG
rnacentral:rRNA from 1 species